rnacentral:rRNA from 1 species
CACGUAGGGCGCAAGCGUUGUCCGGAAUUAUUGGGCGUAAAGAGCUCGUAGGCGGUCUGUUGCGUCCGCUGUGAAAACUCGGGGCUUAACCCCGAGCCUGCAGUGGAUACGGGCAGACUAGAGGUAGGUAGGGGAGAAUGGAAUUCCCGGUGUAGCGGUGAAAUGCGCAGAUAUCGGGAGGAACACCGGUGGCGAAGGCGGCGACCUGGGCCAAUAUUGACGCUGAGGUGCGAAAGCGUGGGGAGCAAACAGG